UACAGAGGGUGCGAGCGUUGUCCGGAAUCACUGGGCGUAAAGGGCGCGUAGGUGGCGACCCAAGUCGAUGGUGAAAGCUCGCCGCUCAACGGCGAGUCGGCCACUGAUACUGGGUUGCUGGAGCACUGUAGAGGCAGAUGGAAUUCCGGGUGUAGCGGUGGAAUGCGUAGAGAUCCGGAAGAACACCGGUGGCGAAGGCGGUCUGCUGGGGCAGUUGCUGACACUGAG
rnacentral:rRNA from 1 species